GAUGAACGCUAGCGGCAGGCUUAAUACAUGCAAGUCGAGGGGCAGCAUGAUUGUAGCAAUACAAUUGAUGGCGACCGGCAAACGGGUGCGGAACACGUACACAACCUUCCAAUAAGUGGGGAAUAGCCGAGAGAAAUUUGGAUUAAUACCCCGUAACAUAACGAUGUGGCAUCACAUUGUUAUUAUUGAUUUUUCGCUUAUUGAUGGGUGUGCGGCUGAUUAGAUAGUUGGCGGGGUAACGGCCCACCAAGUCUACGAUCAGUAGCUGAUGUGAGAGCAUGAUCAGCCACACGGGCACUGAGACACGGGCCCGACUCCUACGGGAGGCAGCAGUAAGGAAUAUUGGACAAUGGACGCAAGUCUGAUCCAGCCAUGCCGCGUGAAGGAUUAAGGUCCUCUGGAUUGUAAACUUCUUUUAUAAGGGACGAAAAAAGGCUUUUCUAAGUCGUCUGACGGUACCUUAUGAAUAAGCACCGGCUAACUCCGUGCCAGCCGCCGCAGUAACAC
rnacentral:rRNA from 1 species